rnacentral:misc_RNA from 1 species
GAUGAAGAACGCAGCGAAAUGCGAUACGUAAUGUGAAUUGCAGAAUUCAGUGAAUCAUCGAGUCUUUGAACGCACAUUGCGCCCCCUGGUAUUCCGGGGAGCAUGCCUGUCCGAGCGUCAUUGCUGCCCUCAAGCCCGGCUUGUGUGUUGGGUCUCGUCCCCCUUCCCGGGGGGACGGGCCCGAAAGGCAGCGGCGGCACCGCGUCCGGUCCUCGAGCGUAUGGGGCUUUGUCACCCGCUCUGUAGGCCCGGCCGGCGCUUGCCGAUCAACCAAAACUUUUUUCCAGGUUGACCUCGGAUCAGGUAGGGAUACCCGCUGAACUUAAGCAUAUCAAUAAGCGGAGGA